CAGGCAAUCAGGAAAGACAUCAGACCAGUGAAACAGGAGGAAGAGCAAGUGACCUGAAACGAGAAGGAGAGUCAGCAUUUCAAAAUAAAACAAGAAAUGACAAAACAACAUGAAACCAGACGAAACCCAGACCAGACUUCAACCAGUUCCAGGUGUGCUGCCAGUCAUCCGAGCCCAUCUGCUGCUAAUCAACUACCAGACUUAAACCCUGGAUCUCCACUCAGCCGGUGCCAGUUCGUCCGUUGCCUGCGGUGGAGGACAGACCUUUGACCCGGUUUUCCUGGCGCUGAUCUUUCGUUGCAAUUGAUUUAUUUUCUCCAGUGAUUUUUUUGUUAUUAAUUAGAUUUUUUAACGGAUCUGCAUUUGGAUUCUUAUUUUUGAGGCCACAAAACUUACAGCUAGUAGC